UAGGGAAUCUUCCACAAUGGACGAAAGUCUGAUGGAGCAACGCCGCGUGAGUGAAGAAGAGUUUCGGCUCGUAAAACUCUGUUGUUAAAGAAGAACAUAUCUGAGAGUAACUGUUCAGGUAUUGACGGUAUUUAACCAGAAAGCCACGGCUAACUACGUGCCAG
rnacentral:rRNA from 1 species